rnacentral:rRNA from 1 species
GGGUAAUUUUCCGCAAUGGGCGCAAGCCUGACGGAGCAAGACCGCGUGAGGGAAGAAGGUCUGUGGAUUGUAAACCUCUUUUGAUAGGGAAGAAGACAGUGACGGUACCUAUCGAAUCAGCCUCGGCUAACUCCGUGUCAGCAGCCGCGGUAAUACGGAGGAGGCAAGCGUUAUCCGGAAUUAUUGGGCGUAAAGAGUCCGUAGGUGGGUAACCAAGUCAGCUGUUAAAUAGUGAAGCUUAACUUCAUAGAGGCGGCUGAAACUGGCUGCCUAGAGUGUGGUAGGGGUAGAGGGAAUUUCCAGUGUAGCGGUGAAAUGCGUAGAUAUUGGAAAGAACACCGGUGGCGAAAGCGCUCUACUGGGCCUGCACUGACACUGAGGGACGAAAGCUAGGGGAGCGAAAGGGAUUAGAUACCCCUGUAGUCCUAGCCGUAAACGAUGGAUACUAGGCGUUGCCCGUAUCGACCCGGGCAGUGUCGUAGCCAACGCGCUAAGUAUCC